rnacentral:lncRNA from 1 species
ACAACCAUAAAACUGAAUAUACCUUUCUGAAUAGAAUUCUAACACAUAGAAAGUACCCCACUCUGCAUGCUUUUUUACUUUUCAAUGUACCCUUGGAGACUGAAAUAAUAAUUUGAUAUUCUCUGUCUGCUGGUGCUAGAUGGGCUUUUCCUUUAAUGAUGCAAUGCUUCCAGUGGCCAGAAAGUCUCAGGACAUUGACAGAAGAAUCUGUUGGAGCUUUGCUCCUUCACAUUGGUUUGCUGGUGAGCACCAUCUCUGACUGUUUCCAUUCAACAAGCUCUCUGACACUACAAGAAGCUCUCUCUUCAUCUGGUAGAAUAACAGUGAACUUGGGUCUGCUUCCUGCCCACCUUUCUUGCUAUCUCUGGAACUGCCUUCAGAUUUAGACAGUUUGAAUAUUACCAGCUCCUAGGAACCAUUUGACAGGAAUGCUAAGGUUCUCAGAAAAGAGUUAGUUGUCAAAGGCUUUCUCUAGUCACAUGACUGGGUUGAUAAGUUUAAAUGUAGCCAAGUGUUUCUCAAGUGUAUUUGGAAUAUUUUAGGAUAUUCAAUCUCUCUCUGUCUCUCUGUCUCUCUCUCUCUCUCUGUCUCUGUCUCUCUCUCUGUCUCUGUCUCUCUGUCUCUGUCUCUCUGUCUCUCUGUCUCUCUGCCUCUCUCUGUCUCUCUCUCUUUCUCUGUCUCCCUGUCUUUGUCUCUCUCUUUCUCUCUCUCUGUCUCUCUGUGUGUGUGUGUGUGUGUGUGUGUGUGUGUAUGUCCUCUUUUUCUCACAGUUUGAGAAUUGGUCUUGGAAAAACUCUCUACAGAUUUUUUUUGGUUUUGUUUUGUUUUCGUUGUUGUUGUUUUUGUUUGUUUGUUUGUUUGUUUGUUUUUUGAUACAGGGUUUCUCUGUGUAGCCCUGGCUGGCCUGAAACUCACUCUCUAGACCAGGCUGGCCUCGAACUCAGAAAUCCACCUGCCUCUGCCUCCCAAGAUUCUACAGCUUACAUUGCUAACUACAAAAAUCAGCAUAGAGAGUUUUUCCAAGACCAGUUCUGCAGUUAUCUGUGAUCAGCAGUAUCGGGGAUCACCUCGGAUCCAGAGCAUCUAUCUAGUCAAGGCAUGGGCAAUUGGUUUACUUUGUAUGCUGACUCCUCCUGCAGGGUUAGUCUGAAAGUAACUUCCGUCCUGCAAAGCCCCUGGGUAAGCUGGAUGUGAAUGGUGCAUAAGAAACAAGCCUUGUGGAAGGAAUCCCAGAAAAGUGGCGGAAGUUCUGAUGGAUUAGUUCACUGGAUUCACUGACACAUGAUGCUUGCAAAGGAACUGGAGGCCAGAUAAGUGUGGCAAGACUGACUUGAAGACAAGAAAACAGGUUAUUUAAGGUUUGGGACCAUGACUUGUUUGACAGUCUUCACAAAUUACAACAUCUCAGGCAGAGUUUUGUUCUAUUUGAAAAUCAUUAUGGACUACAAAUGUGAUCAGGAAGGGGGCUGUUGUGGGGAGACAUUUGCAGAGGAAGUGACUUCAAGGUGCAUGCUGAAGGAUGAAUCAAAUGAGGAAAUCAUCAGAACAAUGUGUACAAGAUGAAGAGACAGCAAAGAAGAGCUGCUGACCACUGGGCACUGGACAACCAAUUGGUGUAUUCUUUCCUGGGUAAGGCUACUUCCUUUGUUGCCUAUUGUUCUUUAUGUCAAGCUAAGACUUUUCUCCAUUCAGUUGGUCAUUCUUACUCAGAUCACAUUUAGACAGUCAUGGGUGAGGCUUUAUGGAUGUAGCUUCUGCCAUUCCUAGAAGACAUAAUUUCACAGUAAACUCCUUGAUCCUCUGGCUCUUAUAGUCUUCAUGGCUCCUUUUCUGCAGUGUUUCCUGAGUCUUAGGUGUGGGCUUGUUUUGUAGAUGCAUCCACUGGGGCCGGCUUACACAAUUCUGCAUUUUUAUUGGUUCUGGCUUUCUGUAAUGAUCUGUCUAUGGCAAAGAGAAGUUUUCUUGAUGGUUGGUGUAUAUUACACUUAUCUGUGUGUAUAAGGACAAAUGUUUAAUCAGAGAAAUGGCAGAGCCUAGCACUAGCCAUGCUAGGCAGAUUGUCUCUGGAGAAUAAUAAACCCUUUCGGUGCUAACUCAGCCAUUUUGGUGUGGUUGACUGACUCCAGAGAAUUCAUAGUCCAUUUCUAAAAAUGUACCACCGAGGAGAUCAGUAUAUUAAUAAUUCCAGGAUUCCCCAGCAAACUCUCAUGCAGCCUCCUCACAAAUGUAAAAGGUGGCACUGUUUGUUUCAGGAGUGAGAAGAGAUUCACAUGUAUUUCUGCUCUAACUCUGUGUCUAUUGUGUCUCAAAAGGUCAAAACAAAGGUAACUUGUGGGAGAGAAGAGAAAAGACAAAAUUUUAUCACUUUGCCAACUUUUGGUACAUUUUAAAUAUGGAUCAAUCUCCUUUAUGGGGAGACUAAACUCUGGUAAUUCAUCUACCUACAAUAUCCAAAAGAGAAAUAGGUCAUCAUUGCAGCAAAAACAAUAAGCAUAGCACUAUGUGGAAGAAUCAAUAGUGCCAUGAUAAAUGAAGUCCCACUCUUGUGUGGCUGCAGCAAACCUCUUCUUAGCCAGGAAUCCCAAGUGACUCCCCUCUAAGCCUCCCUCCCUCAUACUUUCACCCCUAGAGUCCUCUCAGUUGCUCUCCUAAGGCAGAGUCCAGUUCAUAGCAGCCAUGAACAGCUUCAGUCACACAGCUCUGCUAGGAAGUACACCAGCCCUUUGUGAAAGGGCACCCCAAUGUGGCAACUGAUCAGUGAGCCUCUGACAUGUUUUCAGCUGUGCUGGCUAUAUGCUACAGCCUCACUAUUAGGAAGUGUGACGGGCGGACACUCGGUGCGGCUGGCAAGGACAUUAGCAGACUCUCCUCUUCUUGUGCUGGUCUGAGGUGCAUCAAACAAAGACACAAGUUAGCCAGACUGUUCAAAGUUAACUGCGAACAGGAGGAAGAAAGUUAACGUGAUACACUGCAGUAUCCUCUCCUAGCACGCAGUUGAAAGCUUUGAAAGUCCCGUUAAGUAUCUCUUUUUUAAGAUAAAUACCUAUUAAGUAAUGUAUAUGCACAAGCUGAAGUGUUAAAUGGUUUGUUGAAACCUAUUAGAGUACACAAGAUGAUAAACAUAAAUUAUAGCUAAUAUACUGCACCAGUGAUUUUUAAACAUAAAAAUUACUGACACUGGGAAAACACACUUGAGUCAUCGUAGCAGCAUAAUAGCACUAAUCCGUGUUUAUCCAACCAUGCACUUUUCAAAAACAACACAAACCUCUAAUAAAUGCUUUGGCUUCACCUUGGCAACUUAUAUGGGUUAUUGCCUCGUUCAUGCCUGGAUAACCAUGUGUUAUGACUUAAACGUUCUUUAAUAUCAAUUUAUGCCUUGAAGAAAAAAAGAUUGAAUAACACAGUGUACAUAUGGUUCAAUUUAUUACAGCGAAACAAUCAUUUUAGUUUGAAGAUAUUUUCUCAUGGUGCAUAUCAUAGAAAUCUCCUUCAAUAGAGCUCUCAAUAAACCAGAUUUUUUAUGUCACAAUAAAUGAAACUAAGGCAGCUAAUUGUUGCUAAGAUUCUAAAUAGAUGGGUCUAUUUGGCUUCCUUGUCAAUCAAGAAAUACAUUCCUUAACACUUGUAUUUCUGGAUUCUAAUGUCUCUAAUUGGAUUUUACACUAUCUGAUUAAUGAGGUAGUUUAUAGGAUACCAUAAAAAUGAUACUGAAAAAAAUGUAAGAGGAAAUUGUAGGGUGUCAGCAUUAUCAGAGUUUAAGACAACACGAAGAAUUGCAGUGGCCACAGACACAAAAUGGGGAGAAGUGGGAUGAAGUAGAGUCUGGCACAACAACAAAAACAACACAAGAAUUGUAUGCAUUGACCUGAGAUGUGGCGAGGAAGCACAGUGGUUAUGCUGCUGCUCUGGUAGCACUUCUAUGACAUUAUCUUCCUGCCCCUUUCCACUCACCAUGAAAGCUGAGCUGGCCAAGCACAUGAACACCUAGCUCCUUGAGAAGAGGCAGGCUCUGGGACCAACUGUGAGUCACUGAGAGGCAAGCUAGAACUAGAGCAUUCACAUAUGGCUCACAGCAAAACAGCAAUUUAAAAAUAUAUUUCUGUAAUUGUUUAUCAUUUCUCACUUAUUCUGCCAGCCAACACUGUGAUUUGAGAGCACCCUUUUGAGCAGGGGUGGGAUAAAGUGGGUGGAGCAUAUAGGUUAAAGAUCACUCUGUUAUGGGCCAGCAAGGUGGCUUAGCAGAUAAAGGCAUGUGUCUCCAAGCCUGAUGUCCCAAUUUUGAUCCCUGGGAGCCAAGUAAUGGAAGGAGGGAGCCCCCUUCCACAAGUUGUCCUCUGACUACCACAUGCAUUCUGGAGCACGCAUGCCUUCCCCAACAGGGAAAAUAAACACAUGUAAUUUUUUUUGAAAAUGUUCUAUUAUGUCUGACAAGUUAUUCUUAACCAAAUCCAUUGAACAUGAAAGAGCUACAAGAAAAUUUUCCUGCAAUGCAUGAUGUAUGUUGGAGAUAGAAUCCAAAAGUCCAAAGAUUUAAAAAAAAAAAAGAGCCAGACAAUGCAGCAUUACACUUAACCAACAAACUUAACUUCUACAAGGAGUUUCUGGCUGAACUGACUUUAGCAUCAUUGAUUGGGCUUUCCAUAACUCUCCUACCACAGCACUAAUUAACCUUGCAUGUCAAGUGCUGGAAAACAUUCCUGCAAACAGACAUAUUUUCUAAAUAAGUAAAGUUAUAAGCUGGAUAAAAAUACAAUCUAAAUAAACUUCUCUGUUUUCAAAGUGUGGUCAUCUUCCCAUCCAGCUCUGUAAGUCUUUGGCUUCAUCAUUCUUCGGUUCCCAUGUCUCUACAUACUCAAAUUCCUCUAUCUUCUAAGCCCAAAUUUUAUCUCACCUUUUAUAAUCAUUCCCUAACUGCCAGUGGCAUUAAUGGCUCCUGUUUCUACCUCCUCAAUUCUGUUCUGACUUUCUCCUAAGAGAAGUACCCAUCAGUGUGGCUGCUGUCUUCCCUAGUAAAGGCUGAGGCUUUAGAUGCAAGUAGUGUCAUUGGGUCCCCUAUUCCCUGUCGCCAACCCUCCCCCGCCCCCAAAGGGUCACACUCUUCUUUGAACACCACAGGCUUCAGUCUGGCUUAUUGAAUUAACAUGGUCAGAUGUGUCCAUUAUAUGCAAGCUUUAUUCUCUUCGUCUUGGCAGCUUGCUAUUAUGAGCAUCAUCCUUCUGUCAAGCUGCUAAUGGAGAAGAGGAAUAGAAAUACAUCUUGGGAACUUCUAGUACUGUGUUAGCAACAACCAAGGACAGUUGAUUUCCAACCAUGGAUUCUUUCACUUUAGCUCUAUUGUUAACUCACCCCAAGAGGAUUGGCUUUUAUGUCUAUGAUUCAUAAAUACAUUUAAAUUUUGGAAUUAAAAAAAGAAAAGUUACCGGUCUUGUUCCAUCCUUGACAGAAUCAUAGUGAUAAACAGCAAGAAAAGAGCUCACCUCCCAGUAAAAGCCUGCUCAGAUGCCUACUCAAAAGACAACUUGAACCAUCUGAUCCUUUUCUAAUAUGCAGUCGACAAGCACUCAUAUUCUGGGAUGAAACUCAGAGUGAACUACAGUCAGCUCCUCUGAGCAGUGAUUCACAUGCAAGUCUAGGCCUGUCUAAAACAUCUUCAACUCAUCCAUAGGCAGGUUUCCCUUAUGGCAGCUUUAAGUAACUCUAGCUUGAGGAAACCUACCCCAGAUUUCAGUUAGUAAAUUUCUAUAGUUCUGCCCUAUAGAAUUGUCUGGGCAGACCACACUCAAUUUAUAUUUGUAAGGAUCCCUGGGAAGAUCUCCCUGACACACACAAACAGGCUGUCAUGUAGAUGCUACCUCCUUCUCUUAGAGUAGUAUGUUUAGAAAUGGCUUCCUCACUGGGCCUGUGAUGGAGAUUGAAGCCAAAGCAACAGCACACAGUAGUAAUCUUUAAACGGCUGCCAGAAUGUCAGUGGCUCACUUGAUGAAAAAGAAAUUAUUCUUUCUCGGUAGCUGCAUGGAUACUUUCAUGCGAUAACUAAAAGACAGGACCUUCCAGCAGAUUAUAACAGGGACCCAGAAGACAAAUCUCUCUGCUCUAACUUUGGCAAUGCUGCGUUUGCUGGGCUGCUCUUUGAAAAGAAGUGUUCUAUUCUAAGACAGUUUCCCUCUCUAAAACUAUGGAUUUGUCACAGUGCAUAAUGUUUUUCUGACUUUUCUUAAAAAUACACUUUGAUGACAAAAUAGAUGUCUGGGCUCUCCUGAGGUUUUAAGACCACCUUAAAUAAUAUGAUUUUGUGAUUCUUUAGAAAUAUUCCCCCCUCCCUCCCCUAUGCCCUACAAAUCAGUUUUUAAUAACUAGGAAAUUGUACAUGUACGGCAUUCUAAAAGAAAGACAAACAAAUGAAAUGAUUAAUUUUUGCAAGAUCCUCAUUUUAAAAAAAAGUCCAUGAAAUCUGUACUUUUAAGUUAUGUCUAGAAAUUAUAUAAGCAAUGGUAUUCAUUUUAUUUUACAUAAUUUGCCUCUUCUAGUUAUGAUCCUUCAUAUGCAGAAAUAAAAUCUGCAUCCAGUCUUCGGUUACCACAGGGUAGAGCUGAUAUGCUUGUCAUUGUCCCAAGGAUGCUGCUGUGCACUGCGCACUGAUGACCUCCACAAACCAUUAGCUUCUCUCCAGCCCCAGUGAGAGCUUCGCAGUGAAAACAUGAUCCUGUUCUUCAUUUACAUUUUAAAGUCAAUUUAAGAUCACACAUUCAUUUUCCUGGAGACUUUGUAUAUUAAGCUUAUAUUUUUAUUUUAAGUUUUGCUCCCCCCGCCCCAUGAAAGAAAUUCAGAGCAACAAGUACUAGGUGAACAACUCCUGGGGUCUCAGAUCUGGAGGACAGCAAGCAUUUCCUCCUCUCCAGAGUCCUAGAAAUGUAGAAGUGGUGAGAAGACUGACCCUUGUGAGGCCAUUAUAUACAAAUACUUCUUUUCUAUUUAUGUUAUUUGGCAAAGUCAAUGUUUUUAAAUACGUGUAAAUUUUGAUAAAGGAAAAAGCAUCCCUCAUGAGUUUUUCACCUUGACUUUUUCACCAUUUCUAGAUACUCAGAAGGGGUUACCAACCACGAAGCAGGGAGAGCCAGGGUGAUCUCAAAGAUGCUUGCUCCAGUCAUCAUUUCCCAGCUCCAAAUCCUGUUCCGCUUUACCUCAAUUUCCCCAGAGUGAACAGUCUGUGUAAAGACUGGGUUUAUCUCCUUUACAUUCAGAUGGUUGCGUUUCCUGCUUAAAAUGUCAGCUGGAUUGUCUCAGCACCCUGCCUCCCCC